GAUGAAGAACGCAGCGAAAUGCGAUACGUAAUGUGAAUUGCAGAAUUCAGUGAAUCAUCGAGUCUUUGAACGCACAUUGCGCCCCCUGGUAUUCCGGGGGGCAUGCCUGUCCGAGCGUCAUUGCUGCCCUCAAGCACGGCUUGUGUGUUGGGCCUCCGUCCUCCUCCCGGGGACGGGCCCGAAAGGCAGCGGCGGCACCGCGUCCGGUCCUCGAGCGUAUGGGGCUUCGUCACCCGCUCUUGUAGGCCCGGCCGGCGCUUGCCGACACAUCAAUCUUUUUUCCAGGUUGACCUCGGAUCAGGUAGGGAUACCCGCUGAACUUAAGCAUAUCAAUAAGCGGAGGA
rnacentral:misc_RNA from 1 species